CCUACGGGAGGCAGCAGUGGGGAAUAUUCCACAAUGAGGGGAACCCUGAUGCAGCGACGCCGCGUGGGUGAAGGAGUAUUUCGGUAUGUAAAGCCCUAUCAGCAGGGAAGAACAAUGACGGUACCUGACGAUGAAGCACUGGCUAAAUACGUGCCAGCAGCCGCGGUAAUACGUAUGGUGCAAGCGUUAUCCGGAUUUACUGGGUGGAAAGGGGGCGCAGGUGGCGCGGUAAGCCUGGUGUGAAAGCCCGGGGCCCAACCGCGGGACUGCAUUGGGAACUGGCGCGCUGGAGUGCCGGAGGGGUAAGCGGAAUUCCAUGUGAAGCGGUGAAAUGCGUAGAUAUUAGGAGGAACACCAGAGGCGAAGGCGGCCUACUGGACGUAGACUGACGCUGAGGCUCGAAAGCGUGGGGAGCAAACAGGAUUAGAUACCCCUGUAGUC
rnacentral:rRNA from 1 species